UAUGUGAUCGUCUCUCGCAUAUCAAUAAGCGGAGGAAAAGAAACUAACAAGGAUUCCCCUAGUAACGGCGAGUGAAGCGGGAAGAGCUCAAAUUUGAAAUCUUAAAGGGUUUCCCUUUACGAAUUGUAGUUUAAAGAAGUGUUUUCUGUUGAGGUUUUGGUAAAAGUUCUUUGGAAUAGGACAUCAUAGAGGGUGAGAAUCCCGUAUUUGACCUUUACUUUCAACUUUGUGAUACACUUUCAAAGAGUCGGAUUGUUUGGGAAUGCAGUCCAAAAUGGGUGGUAAAUUUCAUCUAAAGCUAAAUAUUGGCGAGAGACCGAUAGCGAACAAGUACCGUGAGGGAAAGAUGAAAAGAACUUUGAAAAGAGAGUUAAACAGUACGUGAAAUUGUCAAAAGGGAAGCGUUUGACACCAGUGUUGUUUUUCUGAAAAUCAAUUAAAGAACUGUUUAUGCUAAGUUGUUUAGACUUUAUCAGCUAUCUGUUUAGUUUUGAGCUUUUCUUUAAUGCACUUUUCAGUUAACAAGUCAACAUCAAUUUCUUUUGCUGUAAAAAAGCUUGAGGAAGGUGGCUUGAGAUUCGUCUUAAGUGUUUAUAGCCUCUUGCCUAUGCAGUCGGAGAGAUUGAGGUCUGCAGCGUAGAUCCUUCGGGGCUAAAUGCAUUUGUGCUAAGUUAUAGCAUUUUAUAGACAACUUGUUGACUAUGAUUUGUCUUGUAGCUUACUCGCUUAUGUUAUUUUACCUACGCUUAGGAUGUUGAGUAGCGACAUACGCAC
rnacentral:rRNA from 1 species